rnacentral:misc_RNA from 1 species
GAUGAAGAACGUAGCGAAAUGCGAUAAGUAGUGUGAAUUGCAGAAUUCAGUGAAUCAUCGAAUCUUUGAACGCACAUUGCGCCCCUUGGUAUUCCAUGGGGCAUGCCUGUUCGAGCGUCAUUUGUACCUUCAAGCUCUGCUUGGUGUUGGGUGUUUGUCUCGCCUCUGCGUGUAGACUCGCCUCAAAACAAUUGGCAGCCGGCGUAUUGUUUUCGGAGCGCAGUACAUCUCGCGCUUUGCACUCAUAACGACGACGUCCAAAAGUACAUUUUUACACUCUUGACCUCGGAUCAGGUAGGGAUACCCGCUGAACUUAAGCAUAUCAAUAAGCGGAGGA